AUUGAACGCUGGCGGCAGGCCUAACACAUGCAAGUCGAGCGGAUGAAGAGAGCUUGCUCUCUGAUUCAGCGGCGGACGGGUGAGUAAUGCCUAGGAAUCUGCCUGAUAGUGGGGGACAACGUUUCGAAAGGAACGCUAAUACCGCAUACGUCCUACGGGAGAAAGCAGGGGACCUUCGGGCCUUGCGCUAUCAGAUGAGCCUAGGUCGGAUUAGCUAGUUGGUGAGGUAAUGGCUCACCAAGGCGACGAUCCGUAGCUGGUCUGAGAGGAUGAUCAGUCACACUGGAACUGAGACACGGUCCAGACUCCUACGGGAGGCAGCAGUGGGGAAUAUUGGACAAUGGGCGAAAGCCUGAUCCAGCCAUGCCGCGUGUGUGAAGAAGGUCUUCGGAUUGUAAAGCACUUUAAGUUGGGAGGAAGGGCAUUAACCUAAUACGUUAGUGUUUUGACGUUACCGACAGAAUAAGCACCGGCUAACUUCGUGCCAGCCGCCGCCGUAACAC
rnacentral:rRNA from 1 species